UACGUAGGGUGCAAGCGUUGUCCGGAAUUAUUGGGCGUAAAGAGCUCGUAGGCGGUUUGUCGCGUCUGCUGUGAAAACUCAGGGCUUAACCCCUGAGCCUGCAGUGGGUACGGGCAGACUAGAGUGUGGUAGGGGAGAUCGGAAUUCCUGGUGUAGCGGUGGAAUGCGCAGAUAUCAGGAGGAACACCGGUGGCCGAAGGCGGCCUGCUGGGUUCUGGCUGACACUGAGGCGCGACAGCGUGGGGAGCAAACAGG
rnacentral:rRNA from 1 species